rnacentral:lncRNA from 1 species
GAGAUCCAACACAGGGAAGCAAGAGGGAGCAACCAUGGGUCACACUGCACACGGGCAGCGUCGCCUUACUCCUUUCUCUAAGCACAAACACCCAGGUGAGCACCUUGCACGGAAAAAGGCUCUGUCGAUGCAAGGCAGGUCUGUCCUAGACCCCAUCCCGGGGCAGGCCUCCUGCUUUGCCCUCGCUGAGCCCCCCCAUGGCCCCUCCUGGGUGCUCUGUGGGCCGGGAGCUGCGGUGUCAGCCGGGAGGCAGAGGAAGCUGGCAGCCGUCCCGGGGCUGCUCCAUAGAAGGAGAUGGGCUAGCUGCGUGAGGUCAUCGCUGCUCCGGGAGGAGGCUUUCUCCGGCGAGAGGGAAGUGGGUCUCGCAGAAGGAAGGGGGAUCCUGCUGCCCUGGCGAAGGAGGAGCCGCAAGAGCAGAGCUGGAGCUUGUUCCUAGCUGCCUUUCUGCACACGCUGAAGGGAAGGUGCCAGGUGGUUUAACUGCGAUUUCCAACUUUCUUUCCCACAUCUGAGCCUGUUGCUGACUGGCACGGUGCGCACGUAUGAGUGGUGCGGCCGUGCACAGGGACAGCUCUCUGUGCUCACAGCUGCCCCGUGAUUCGGUGACUGUUCUCUUGCCAGUGGUCCUCUUUUCUCAGAAUUCCUCGUCUUCAAAAUGGGUUAGUCAGCUUGUAUGAGCGUAGAUGUGAGUAAGAAACCAGAACUACGGUGUGAACUUGCACCUUGAGCAGCCAGGGCAUUUUGUUAGGCUUUCUGAUGCGAUCCCUCUUCUUUUCUGCUGAGGGGAGAGCUACCGCUUGGGCCAGAUCUCUCACUUAGG